rnacentral:rRNA from 1 species
UACGGGGGGGGCAAGCGUUGUUCGGAAUUACUGGGCGUAAAGGGCUCGUAGGCGGCCAACUAAGUCAGACGUGAAAUCCCUCGGCUUAACCGGGGAACUGCGUCUGAUACUGGAUGGCUUGAGUUUGGGAGAGGGAUGCGGAAUUCCAGGUGUAGCGGUGAAAUGCAUAGAUACCAGGAGGAACACCGGUGGCGAAAGCGGUUUCCUGGCCGAGUACUGACGCUGAGGCACGAAAGCGUGGGGAGCGAACGGG